rnacentral:rRNA from 1 species
UACGUAGGGUGCGAGCGUUGUCCGGAAUUAUUGGGCGUAAAGAGCUUGUAGGCGGUUUGUCGCGUCUGCUGUGAAAAUCCGAGGCUCAACCUCGGACUUGCAGUGGGUACGGGCAGACUAGAGUGUGGUAGGGGAGACUGGAAUUCCUGGUGUAGCGGUGGAAUGCGCAGAUAUCAGGAGGAACACCGAUGGCGAAGGCAGGUCUCUGGGCCACUACUGACGCUGAGACGCGAAAGCGUGGGUAGCAAACAGG